GGUGGCUGGUUGUUUCAGCAAAAGAAAUAGCUCCUAAAAAGACACCUGAGAGUAAGAUGUGCCCCAAAAGUGUCCCCAGGGGUGAUAGAGAGGCUGUAGCAGGAGCUCUCCCUAAGGAUUUUAUACAACCCACUUGGCACUCACACUGUUAUUAUUAAAUGGAUUCAGCCAAAAGCUGCCUGUGGGGGUAGAGAUCGGUGGGAAGGUAGGGCGGCAGAGAAAGGAAGUGCUCAGGACCCCAAAUUGAAUAAAGAAAAAGGUCACACGCCAACUGCAAGUUAGAAAUGAAUCUGAGUGAAAGAGACCUAACCUCUUCACGAUCCAGGUUUCCUGAUUUUCAGACCUGAGUUAAGUUGCUAUGGAUACAGAGUGACAGGCCAGUGAAGGAAACUGGGGACAGGGAGUGGCCUGCCCACAGUGUCUCCUUUUCCAGACUUCUUAGAGGACUUGGAAAGAAAAUGAAAUGACGUUGAACGAAAUCAAAGUAAAUUGAGUGAUCUGAAACGAUUUGAUGUCAGCAAGAAUUCCCCAUACAGCUCACAGCCCUACCCCGAGCACGCCUCCCUCUUGGGUAUGCUCUCUGCAGGCCCAAACCUUGCAGAAGCCAUUCCAUGUUUCCUGAGCAGGAAAAGACAAACUCAGACCGACAACCUUGGACUUCAAAAGACUGCACACAAGGGGAGGAAGGACUGAGAGUACCAAGGCGUGAGAAUUCAGAAUGCUGCUAUCUCAUUUAUUUUUACCAUUUAGGAAACGUUUUGAUCUGCAUUCCUUUUCCCUUCCCUGAUUUCAAAAAAUAAAAAUAAAAAUGCUUCGG
rnacentral:lncRNA from 1 species